ACACCUUCUUUUCUAUAUCAAUAUAAGCAAUCACAAAGAAAACACACCAUCAUCCUGGUUGUGAUACACAGUGAUGGAAUAUAUAGACAUGAUAUCUAAUGAGUGAACAGCAGUUAUGGACUUGAGCAUAAAACAAACUGGAGUUAUACCUUAAGUAUUUUCUCUUCAUGGUUAUUCUUCUCUGAAUAUUUUACAGCUCUAGUGGGCGUGCCAUGCAAACCAAAUCCUGUCUUUGAACCAUUUAUGCUGAAACAUUCAGCUCGACAGCACAGCAGCAGUUUGUGUUCAUUUCCAGCAACAGGAAUUGUUUACAUUUUUUGAGAUGGGACCAGGCAGAGUUUUGAGUUACUUUACCAUAGCAAUGUUCAUUCAAUAUUCCUGCAGUCAGACACUGAUCGAGUCUGAUUCAGUGAUCAUCGACCCUGAUCAGUCUCAUACACUGACCUGCACAGCUUCUGAAAUUAACUUUGGUAGCUCUUGGAUGGCUUGGAUCAGACAAGCACCAGGAAAAGGGCUAGAAUGGGUUGCAACUAUCACACAUAAUAGUGCUAGCAAGUAUUACUCCAGCGCAGUUAACGGCCGCUUCACCAUCUCCAGAGACAACAGUAAGAUGCAGGUGUUUCUGCAGAUGAACAGCGUGAGGACAGAAGACACUGCAGUGUAUUACUGCGCUCACAUCAUGGAACACACUGAUGCGUUUCUUUAGCUGUCAAUACAAAUACCUAGUCAUCUGUUUUCACACAUAGGUUAUAUUUUCAUCAGUGUAUUACAGCUAAAGAAAUAUUGAGACUAAAAAUGAACUUUGUACCAUCUCUAACCAUCUGGUUAGAAGAACAUCUGUAAUAUAACAAGACUAAAUGGUGUUUCUAAACUUUCAGAUUUCAGCAUAUUAGUAACUAUACAAACUUACAAAAACUAUACAGAAAAAUUUGCUUAUGUUAAACAUCCACCAUGCA